rnacentral:pre_miRNA from 1 species
GUUGAGGGGAAUGUUGUCCGGCUCGAUGCUGCAAACUUAGCUAAUACAAUGUUGUCAAGUGACCGCUAAUUAUGUAAUUAGUCGGGUUGAUAGCUAAGUUUGUGUCAUCGGACCAGGCUUCAUUCCCCCCAAC